GACGAACGCUGGCGGCGUGCCUAAUACAUGCAAGUUGAGCGCUGAAGGUUGGUACUUGUACCAACUGGAUGAGCAGCGAACGGGUGAGUAACGCGUGGGGAAUCUGCCUUUGAGCGGGGGACAACAUUUGGAAACGAAUGCUAAUACCGCAUAAAAACUUUAAACACAAGUUUUAAGUUUGAAAGAUGCAAUUGCAUCACUCAAAGAUGAUCCCGCGUUGUAUUAGCUAGUUGGUGAGGUAAAGGCUCACCAAGGCGAUGAUACAUAGCCGACCUGAGAGGGUGAUCGGCCACAUUGGGACUGAGACACGGCCCAAACUCCUACGGGAGGCAGCAGUAGGGAAUCUUCGGCAAUGGACGAAAGUCUGACCGAGCAACGCCGCGUGAGUGAAGAAGGUUUUCGGAUCGUAAAACUCUGUUGGUAGAGAAGAACGCUGGUGAGAGUGGAAAGCUCAUCAAGUGACGGUAACUACCCAGAAAGGGACGGCUAACUACGUG
rnacentral:rRNA from 1 species